rnacentral:misc_RNA from 1 species
GAUGAAGAACGCAGCGAAAUGCGAUAAGUAAUGUGAAUUGCAGAAUUCAGUGAAUCAUCGAAUCUUUGAACGCACAUUGCGCCCGCCAGUAUUCUGGCGGGCAUGCCUGUUCGAGCGUCAUUUCAACCAUCAAGCCCUGCUUGCGUUGGGGUCCUGCGGCUGCCCGCAGGCCCUGAAAACCAGUGGCGGGCUCGCUAGUCACACCGAGCGCCGUAAUACAUCUCGCUUUGGGCGUGCGGCGGGUUCUUGCCGUUAAACACCCCCUUUUUACCAAGGUUGACCUCGGAUCAGGUAGGAAUACCCGCUGAACUUAAGCAUAUCAAUAAGCGGAGGA